GACGAACGCUGGCGGCGUGCUUAACACAUGCAAGUCGAACGGAAAGGCCCUGCUUUUUUGGGGUGCUCGAGUGGCGAACGGGUGAGUAACACGUGAGUAACCUGCCCUUGACUUUGGGAUAACUUCAGGAAACUGGGGCUAAUACCGGAUAGGAGCUCCUGCUGCAUGGUGGGGGUUGGAAAGUUUCGGCGGUUGGGGAUGGACUCGCGGCUUAUCAGCUUGUUGGUGGGGUAGUGGCUUACCAAGGCUUUGACGGGUAGCCGGCCUGAGAGGGUGACCGGCCACAUUGGGACUGAGAUACGGCCCAGACUGCUACGGGAGGCAGCAGGGGGGAAUAUUGCACAAUGGGCGGAAGCCUGAUGCAGCAACGCCGCGUGCGGGAUGACGGCCUUCGGGUUGUAAACCGCUUUCGCCUGUGACGAAGCGUGAGUGACGGUAAUGGGUAAAGAAGCACCGGCUAACUACGUG
rnacentral:rRNA from 1 species